rnacentral:rRNA from 1 species
ACAGAGGGUGCAAGCGUUAAUCGGAGUUACUGGGCGUAAAGGGCGCGUAGGUUGUUGAAUAAGUUUUUUGUGAAAUCCCCGGGCUUAACCUGGGAACUGCAAGGAAUACUGUUUAACUAGAGUACUGUAGAGGGUAGUGGAAUUUCCGGUGUAGCGGUGAAAUGCGUAGAGAUCGGAAGGAACACCAGUGGCGAAGGCGGCUACCUGGACAGAUACUGACACUGAGGCGCGAGAGCGUGGGGAGCAAACAGGA